UCGAGAAACAACAAGAUCCCCAAAUUUCCCCAUUUUCUUUUCAUCUCCCGCUCCAAAAACCAGAUCGAAAGAUGAACUCCACCUUCAUCAUCUUCUACAUAUUUUACCCUUUUACAUAUUUCUGUCUCUCGGCCUCCCGUUGCAAAACCAGAGAGCAAAACGAAAACUUUUACCUAAAUACCACCAUCAACCAGAGAAAGAAAGAUGAACCCAGCCCUCAAAAGUUCAUCUAAAACCUAAACACCAACACCACAUCAUCCAACCUUCACCACCUCGAGAAACCCCCACCACCUUCUUCUUCUUCCUCCAUCUUCUUCUUCUUCUUCACAGUCAGAAGUUGUGAUUCACCAGCAACGAGAUGGAAGUUCUAACAUAAAAAAUAAGUGAAGUAAAUCAUCUUCCUGGUGCAGAGGUUAAAAUCGAAACAACCAAUUUCGAUUAAUCCAACUUUCACAUCUGACGAGAUUGAGAAGAAUCAGUUGCAGGUCUGAGAUGGAGAUGAUGUUGUUGUGUUGUGUUAUUUGAUUGUCUGGGAAGGAAUAGAAGAUGGGUCUGAAACGAAUUGAAGUUUCUGGUUGUGAGAUGCUGAUGGGACUGACAGAGACUGGUGUUGUUGAUGUCUGAGAUGUGACAGUGUGUAUGGGAAUUGCAGUGAUGGAUUGAGCUAGAACUAUAUGUUAAGAUGGGUUUGUGUGAAUUCAAGAUGAAGGAGAUUGUGCUGGUUAUGUUGCAGUGUAUGGCUGUGGUUCUGGUGGUGUUCAUUGUUGCCGUCAGUUGAGAACAAGAAUGGGUUUGUGGCUGUGUUGGUUUGUUGAGCUUAAUGGUGCAGGAAAUCAAGAUUAGAGUCACUGAUUCAAACCAAUCAACAAGCAGAUGGUAUUCAUCCAUAACCACUGGGAGAAGCAAUUCUUCUCCCUCAACACCGAAGUUUAAUUUGAGAAAUGUUUUUUAUUUGAGUAACUGUUAUGAAUCAACCUCUGCAGCAGCAUCAGAUGCCACAGAUUCACCACCUGCUGAAAAGUUUGAGUACCAAGCAGAAGUUAGUCGUUUGAUGGAUCUCAUUGUUCACAGCUUGUAACAAAGAAGUAUUUUUCCGAGUGCUCAUCAGGUAUAUCAUCCAACAAUUUGUUUCGCGAAUAUGAAUUCAAGGUGUGUUGCUUGGCUCUGGCCCUACAAGUUACUGGCGUUGCUUGUCAUUGUGCCUUUCAAUCUCUCUCCUCAUUGCACUGUUUGCUAGAUCUACCAAGAUAAGUGGUUCUAAUAAGUAAUGAACAAAAUUCUUCACCGGUAAAAAAUGCAUUUUCAUCUCAAUACUACGUGGUGUUGGGACAUGACUUCUCAGUGGUAUCAAAAUUUCUUUAUGUCUAGGCGUCGAGGUUUUUUUGUCUUCUUUAAAUUAUGAGGGGACUAGGCAGUAGGAGUUAAAUUAUGAGGGGACUAGGCAGUAGGAGUUAAAUUAUGGAAUGUUUUAUUAUGUAUUAAGAAUCUGAAACCGUUUCCUUGAUUGUGUUGCAGGGAGGGUUCAUUGACUGGGAUGCUAGGGAUGCUGCUCAACCUGAAGCUCUUGGAUUACUUGAAGCGCCGCAAAGGAUUAAGAAGAAAAACUAUAGGAAUAUGAUUAUUAGAGGCGAUGGUACUAAUCUGCCAUAUCUGCUAUUUACAUUUUGAAUGUAGCCAAUAGUUUGAAGUAUCUUUAGCUUUUCACAAUUUGUGUGUUUCACUGUCAGUUUUAGUUUAAGCAUCUUUAACUUUAUAUCAUGGCAGGUUUAGUUUAAGUAUCUUUAGCAUUCAAAACCGUUGCAGUAAUGUUGGUAACUCAAGAACUGAGCACCAUGUGAAUUCACUUGUUUUUAACUGUUUAGCAUUCUUAUUCCAUCACAACAUGGUUCUCUACACCUAGUGUACAUCCAAUUAUAAUAUUAGCAUCCUCGGUCAAUUUUUUUUUAUAAUAUUAGCAUCACAUAACUGACAGGUUUCCUGUCAAAUUCAUUAUGAUCAGGGAAUCUAUUCUUGUUCUUCUUUUCCUCCUUUCUCUUUUUUUUUUUCUUUAUCAUUUUCUCCUCUCAAGAGUUUAAAUGACAAAAUUGAAAUCAUACCACUUCUGAGAAGAGUUCAUUGAGUUACGCUUUUUUUUGGGUGAUUUUAUCUUGUCAUACUGUUCUUCAACUUGGGAGUUUCAUUUAGGGAUUUUGAUAUUUUGCAUGUUGAAUUGAGGCCGACUGUUAGUGUCUCUGAUUGAAUAGAACUCUCUCCAAGUUCCAUUUAACAUGUAGGAGUCAAUAAAUUAAGAAAGGGUUCAAUGUAGAUUGAUAAGAAAUAUAAUAGACAGUCGUAACUCGAUCAUCUCGUCACUGGAAUUGUGUUGUUGCUCCUGCUGAGAGUAAUUGGUGGUAAUCACUAAUCAGUACCUGGGUGCUUUUGGAUUGGAAUCUUAGAGGCCAGCUGAAUUCUCAAUACGUUGCUCUUUCAGCGAUGCAUUGACUUGUGCAUCUUAUGCAACUGCAGCUGACAUGGAAUCGGUUGGCUAUCAAAUGACUACAGUGGCCCAUCUGAAGCAGUCCCAUAAAAUUAUGCUUAGGACCUCUUGCAAAAGAAUAAACAAUCUGGAUCAGAUGAUAUGGAACUGCUAGUGGCAAAAAUUGGCAGAAUCAAGUAAUCAUCUUUAGAUUUGUUUUGCUGCUGGAUGGUAUUUGCAUCUUUGGGUCUCCAAUUUAACUCCAUUGAAUCUGUUACGCGGGCUCAUGUAGUCGUAAUUGUGUCACCAUGGUUGCUCUUUUUCGGAAUGUAUAUGAGUAGAAAUUUUAUUAAAAUUUUACUAGUUAAAAUUUUA